GAAAAAUUAGUAGUAAAUUUACCAAAACUAGUUCUAGGUUUUGGUAAUAGAUAGCUGUUGGUAGAAGCGAAUCGGUUAGACGUGGAAAAUGGAUGCUGGC
rnacentral:lncRNA from 1 species